rnacentral:rRNA from 1 species
GACGAACGCUGGCGGCGUGCCUAAUACAUGCAAGUCGAACGCAGUGGGGACGGGUGAGUAACACGUGGGUAACCUCCCAUCAGAGGGGAUAACACUUGGAAACAGGUGCUAAACCGAUACUGAUGGAUGGACCCGCGGUGCAUUAGCUAGUUGGUGAGGUAACGGCUCACCAAGGCCACGAUGCAUAGCUGAACUGCGAGGUUGAGAGGCCACACUGGGACUGAGACACGGCGCAGCGGCCUACGGGAGGCAGGAGGAGGGAAUCUUCGGAUAUGGAAGAAAGGCUGAACGAGUAAUGCCGCGUGAGUGAAGAAGGUUUGCGGAUUGUAAAACUCUGUUGUUAUAGAAGCGGUAUCUAACCAGAAAGCGACGGCUAACUACGUGCCAGCAGCCGCGGUAAUAC